rnacentral:rRNA from 1 species
AACGGAGGGGGCUAGCGUUGUUCGGAAUUACUGGGCGUAAAGCGCGCGUAGGCGGCUUUGUAAGUUAGAGGUGAAAGCCCAGGGCUCAACCCUGGAAUUGCCUUUAAGACUGCAUCGCUUGAACAUCGGAGAGGUAAGUGGAAUUCCGAGUGUAGAGGUGAAAUUCGUAGAUAUUCGGAAGAACACCAGUGGCGAAGGCGACUUACUGGACGAUUGUUGACGCUGAGGUGCGAAAGCGUGGGGAGCAAACAGG